rnacentral:rRNA from 1 species
UACGUAGGUGGCAAGCGUUGUCCGGAAUUAUUGGGCGUAAAGCGCGCGCAGGCGGUCCUUUAAGUCUGAUGUGAAAGCCCACGGCUCAACCGUGGAGGGUCAUUGGAAACUGGGGGACUUGAGUGCAGAAGAGGAAAGCGGAAUUGCACGUGUAGCGGUGAAAUGCGUAGAGAUGUGGAGGAACACCAGUGGCGAAGGCGGCUUUCUGGUCUGUAACUGACGCUGAGGCGCGAAAGCGUGGGGAGCAAACAGG